CUCGUAGGCGGCCAACUAAGUCGGAUGUGAAAUCCCCAGGCUUAACCUGGGAACUGCAUCCGAUACUGGAUGGCUUGAAUUCGGGAGAGGGAUGCAGAAUUCCAGGUGUAGCGGUGAAAUGCGUAGAUAUCUGGAGGAAUACCGGUGGCGAAGGCGGCAUCCUGGACCGAGAUUGACGCUGAUGAGCGAAAGCUAAGGGGAGCAAAAA
rnacentral:rRNA from 1 species